AUGGCGAGGCUAUUCACCAUCAUCUCCUCCUUCGCCGUCCUCCUCCUCCUCAGUGAUGUGGGGAUGGCGGUGGAGACCGCCCCCAUAGCGCUCGGUGAUCUGGGGACGGCGGUGGAGACCGCCCCCAAAGCGGCGGUCGGCGACGCCAACGUCAAAAGGUUUUGCGCCGAAACGCCCUACCCGGACGUCUGCGCCGACAUGAUCGCGCGCUACGACGACGAGUGCAAAGGCGCCGACGACAAGAAGCUGGCGGGGAUGGCGGCGCUCACCACCGCCACCCUCCUUCUUAAAGCGUCCGCGGACGCGAGCCCGGGCGUUCAGAAGCAGCGCUACCCAGACCUGACCAAGGCCGACGAGGAAUGCUUUGAAACCUGCUACAAGGAGCUGACCAAUGGCGGCGAAAAACUCGACAAUUUGUGCACCAGCAAAGAGGGCUCGGACGACAUCGGCAUGGCCCAGCUCCCCGAAAUCCGCAGCUUCAUCAAGGAGAACAACGGGGCGCAUGCCCAGUGGAAUUGCGAUAGGUGUCGCCCUGCAAAUGACAAGAAGACACCCGACGAUGUCUCCAAGAAGAACGAUGCCGAGAAGGCCAUGGCUGUCCUGGAUGUGCUCGUUAACAAAGUGACCAAAUAA
rnacentral:rRNA from 1 species